CCUACGGGUGGCAGCAGUGAGGAAUAUUGGUCAAUGGGCGCGAGCCUGAACCAGCCAAGUAGCGUGAAGGAUGACUGCCCUACGGGUUGUAAACUUCUUUUAUAAAGGAAUAAAGUGAGGCACGUGUGCCUUUUUGUAUGUACUUUAUGAAUAAGGAUCGGCUAACUCCGGGCCAGCAGCCGCGGUAAUACGGAGGAUCCGAUCGUUACGCGGAUUUAUUGGGUUUAAAGGGAGCGUAGAUGGGUUGUUAAGUCAGUUGUGAAAGUUUGCGGCUCAACCGUAAAAUUGCAAUUGAUACUGGCAGUCUUGAGUACAGUUGAGGUAGGCGGAAUUCGUGGUGUAGCAGUGAAAUGCUUAGAUAUCACGAAGAACUCCGAUUGCGAAGGCAGCUUACUAAACCACCACUGACAUUGAUGCGCGAAAGUGUGGGUAUCAAACAGGAUUAGAUACCCCUGUAGUC
rnacentral:rRNA from 1 species